GCUUUCAGAGGAGGAAAUGAAUGCAACGACUCCUGUCCAGCUCAGGAGGGGGAAGAUUUAAAAAAGAAAGUUGUUAAGAGGGAACCUGAGACACACUGCUCAUUCUUGCUGAGCUUCCUGUGGAACAUCUCCUCCCAACGAACUGAGGCACUCACCUCCCCACCCCUUCUCUUAACUUCUGUCUGACGUAAAAUCUGUUGCACUCUUCCACAUCCAUCCAGCCCAGAGCUUCGUAUUUGUAUUCAUAUCAUGCACAAGUGAAUGACAUAAAGGGCCCAAACAAUUACCAAGAAUUGCAUCAAGGCCAGGUUACUGCAGCUGAGGAAUCAUGAAGGAUCACCAUAGAGCUGUCAUAUCCUGAGAGCUGUAUAGGACCGUCAUAAACAUUCCCACACAGUAGCCGCUGUGCAGGGUGUGUUCAUUGCUGUGACUGUUAUUUGCCAUAGGGUCUGCUGAAAUGAGUUAAAGGAAUUCAAGUGCUGCUAAACCAGAUUCACCUCCUGAUGUGCACUUAUCCCUUAGAAUCCAAACAGAAAAAGUGCUGCCAAGGUGUAUUAAGUCACUUCUACAUCCCUUCCCCCAUUUUGCCUUUGAGAGGUGAUACAGCUCCGGAUUUUGUGCUUCACUGUCCAAGUUUGCAAAUGUGGUAUAAAUCUAAAGGGUUUUCAUGGCAGGAAGUGGUAGGUGGAGACGUCCUAAGGGCUGGAGCAAGGCUAAGACACAGCUGCCAGGGAAACUCUGGUGGGUGGGAGAAGGAGGAGACAGUCAUAUGCCUGGCAAGAGAGAGCCUUCCUGGGGAUGAGUGCAGCUGAGAGAGAGUGACAGAGUGCAACUGAGCAGAAGUGGCUGAAGCAGGAUUUGUCCAGCACUCUGUUUUUUUGAGGCCAGAAUGCAGCGCUUUCCACUGUGUCAUAAAGAAGUGAAACAGGAAAAUGACAGGCUCUUCCAAAUCAAUUGGAGCAGAGUGUAUUGAAAAGCUAGAUAAACAAGUCUACCUAAUUCAACUUAAGACAUCAUCUCUACGUCCCUUUGCAAAAUCAAAACUGAAAGCACAGGAACUUCAGAAUACUGAAGCACACGCAUUCACGUAGGAAAGUAUACUUCAUUCUUUUCUAUGGGAAAAAUGAUUCACUUGACUUACAGUAGGAAAAGCGGAUGAUUUCCUCUGUUUAAGACCCAGUGGAGAAUUCCUUAUUUGGAAACUGUGUGCAGUUCCCUGUAUUUGAGAGAAUCUGUUUGCUGUUUCCUAAGGGUGUGUUCCUAACUGUAAGAACAGGCUGGGUUUUAAGGACUUUCUUCUCACUAGGAAAGCAUUCUGCCAAACUGCCUCAGCUGCUUCUUUGUCCAUAUGAGCAUUUAUCUUUCAUUUGGAUACUGAAGUUAGUUAUCUGUUUGGCGAGUACAGAUCGGUCACCUUGUUACUAUGCCAUCUCUGAAUCCUAACCUCAAAACAAGCUAAUAUAAGUUUUAGUCUUUUAACUGAAAAAACAGGUGUCUUGCUUAGGAAAAUAAAGGACAUUAAUUGAUGAGAAAAUAUGCAGCUGGAAUAAAUUAAAAGUCUCCCUGUGAAAGUCUGUAUUUACUGUGGCUCCGGGAGUGUUUUGCAUUUGUUCACAAAAGUGACAGCAUAGGAAUUUAUAGAAUGGAGGUUUAAUGCAUGGCAAAAAACUAGAAAAUGUCCAAAUGACUGGGAAAAGUCCUUGGGAUUUACGUUUUGAGUUGAUACUUUAGUCAAACUUUGCAGGGUAGAACAAGGGGAAAUGGUUUCAAAUGGUUGUUAGGACAAGGAGAAAUGGUUUCAGACUAAAAGAGGGGAGAUUUAGGUUGGAUAUAAGGAAAAAGUCUUUUACAGUGAGGGUGGUGAGGCUCUGGAACAGGUUGCCAGAGAUAUGGUGGAAGUCCUGUCCAGAGGCAUUCAAGGUCAGGCUGGACCAGGCUCUGAGCAACCUGAUCUAGCUAUCGAUGUCCCUGUUCAUUGCAGGGGAGUUGGACUAGAUGAACUUUAAAGGUCCCUUCCAAUUCUAAAGAUUCUAUAAUUCUAAAGGCACGACUGAUCUGAUAGAGUGUUGAGAUACUCAGGUCAGGUACCUCAUCCACAUUAUAAUGGUGGUAGUAACAUUACAGCACCAUCACUUGGUAGCCUUGUUUUCAGUGUUGGGCUGUAACAUAUGCUCUGGGAAACACCUCUUCAUUGUUCAUAUUUGUUGUUUAGCUUGAAUUGCGUUGAAUAUUGGUUUGUUAUUGGUUUGAGCAUCGGAAUUUCUCCUUAUGUGCUUUGAGAUUCCUUGGAAGAGAUCUACAUGCCCAGUGGCCAAAUGGAAACUGGGCAGAUGCUAUCAGUGUAAGUGCAGGAGGAAGAUGUGAAGAUGAGUGGACUAAUGCAGUAUUUCUCUUACUACAGUCAUGGUUGAAAGUCCCCUCGCAGACUGAAAGAGCUGGUGAAGCAGGGGAAGAAAAGUUACAGGCCCUCAUUCCAUUCUGGAACCACUUUAUCUGAAAAAAAUGAAAGAAAGAAAAGAAAAGGAAGUUAUAGGCUUCAUGUUUCAUUUCCACAUUCUAGAUGUGGUCAGCAGCUGCAUCGUAGAAGGACAGGAUAUGGAAGCCACACAUUGGCUGCGCCAUUCUGCAUCUGAGCAAGAUUCUCCUAGCAAAAUAAAGAUUCAUUCUUGAAACAGCCAGGGACUGUGCUGUACUGUCUGUUCCCAGGAGGACUGAAGGGGAAAUUAGUCAUCUGCCAAGGAGCCAUAGGAAGGAAGAUGAUAAACUCAAGGAAAAAGAGUCACAUGCCUUUUUUUGUCCUUACUUCUAAACCCGAGUGUACUCUUGACAAAAGUAAUGCAGCAGCCAGGAGUUUUGAAUACAGGAGGGACAUAAAGUGCCUGUUAAAUGCGACCAUUGAUCUUACUUCCCUCCUUUCUAAUGGAGUAUUACAUCUUUAUUUUUAUGCUUGCACAUCAGAUGAGGUAAACUGGAGAGUGGUAUCUGUAUAGUGCUGCAAAGAAACGUGAAAAAAUGAGCUACACCUAACGUUGUCUGGAGCCCUUGCUACAGACCCACCCCAUAAUUUGGCAGCCAGGCAGAGAAGGGCUGUACCCACCCUUGCUAGGGGCACAGUUUCGCCAUUAUAGCUCUGUAGAUAAGAUAUAUAUUCAUUUCCUAGAUUAUUCCUAAUGAUAGUGGGAAAAUCUCUGAAACUUUCCAGGAUCUAAGAGAUACUUAGACUGCUGCUUACACUUGAGCAAGCCUCUUCAUUACUGGCUCUUCCACUGUUUCAUGCCUUCCCUCAGAGUUGGCCCUUUCAAUCACUUUUGUAUUGUUUUUUGGUUUUUGAAUGACAGCAUUGUGGGUUUUAUUUUCCUUCUGAAGAAACUGCACUUAUGAAUUAAGUGCAAAAAUCUCAGUGUAAGUCAGACUCAUGAUUCCCAUGAGCUUGUAGUUUUGGCAGUAUUGGUGACUUUGGAAGAGAUCAGAGACUUCUCAAGUCUUUAAUAUAUAACUACUAAUUAGAUACUGCUGCAAUUAAAUCUAAAUCAAGAUCUGCUGUCUAAGCUAUUUAGCUCUGUUAAGACAGUUUAGCCACCAAAUAAACCUGCUUUGGUGUUAGACCCAAACAACCACAUCACAAAGAUUCAAGAAAGCUUCUAGGAUCAUCGCUUCAGCGUUACAUCUGAAAAAUAAAUCUAAAUGUGCACUAUUCAUCCUGUUCUGAUGAAAUCAGCAUGAGCCUGAGCAGGCAGCACUUCUCACAGACCAAGGGCUGAAUAUUUGCUUUCCAGAUUUAACAGCACUUCAGACAAAAGUCAUUUUUUAAGCAGAUAGUUAUAAUCUGAGGCGAGAAACAUGAGAUGACGAUUAAGGCUGGCUGGAGCAAAAGAACAAACAUUCUGUCAUGAUGCUGCUGAAGCGCUCCAGAAAUAGCCCCCAUUCUGAUAUUUUCAGAGCACAUAUUUGUGCGUGCACUCUAUUAGGUCUGCUACUAAUUUGGUCAAAGUUAGUCGUGUUAAUUAUCUGUCAGUUUGGGAUGGUAAUUUUGACAACUGCUGAACAGUUUCUUCCUCAGAGUCCUCGUGAUCAUCUUCAAUGAUCUAAUCUAAUGUAUUGUCUUGAAACUGAAAUGCUUCAAGCCAGCAUUAACCACAUAAAUAAAUACAAAGCAAUAAUGUGACAUUUCCUGACAAGUGGUGGCAAAGUUUGCUUUUACAGUUGCUGUGAGAAUUAAAGCUUUUAGGAAAUGAGCACAUGUACUGUUAUCAGCUGUCAGACUUUUCUCUUUAGUCUCGCACCAUGUUUUCUUUUUCCCCCCCCCCGUAAAGACUUGUUGUUGAGGUUAAGAUUAUGCAAGAAUUCCACCUUUUAUUUUCUUUGCUGUUAAUAAUUCUCAUGUUUAUGAGGUAAUUCUCAUGGCUAUCUCAUGUUAGUUCUCAAAAAAAAAAAAAAAAAGUGAUUGUAACCCAUAAUACAUUGAAAUAAAAAUCAGUGCUUGAUGUUUUCUUAGCUUCUGAUGUAGAGAACUGACUUUUAUAACUGUUUACUCUAUCCGGGACUGCACAUGACUGCACAGGCACUAAGAUAGCAGAGAAGCCAAAGUGGGAAGGAAGAUUUCUAGCAAAUUUCACAGUUUCCAGUGUUUAUAUUCCUCUGUGUGCAUUUUUAAUAACAGGUAUCACUAAUUUUUUAGGUUAAAAUAAAGUGGAUAAAGUUGGAAAAACACAUUCCCAAGAAUUCCACUGAAAGUUUGUUUGGCAUUUCAAGUCACUUAUCUCACAAGCACUCACCUGUGACAGACCACUGUGACUACUAAUUUAUGUCCCCAGCCUGUUUUACAUUAGCUUGUCCUUUUCUGACUUCAAUAACAAUUGUUUAUUUAGCUUGUGGCAGAUGUGCCACGCUUGAGGAUUAAAAAAAUAGAAGUUCCCCCUCCACACCCUCAGCCAGGUGUCCUGCAUUGAGGUUGUUUAUUCUGAGCAACAUCGUUAGGUUCUUUUAUUUGCUUUCUAAACUUGAGGGUGGACCUGACUCACAUUUUCCAAGUACUAUGUAAGCUGUGGAGCCUAUGGUUUCUGUUCUGUUUUAUUUUGUUUUGCUUUAGGAAAGUUCUGUUCUACUACAAGCCCUUGGUUCUCUAACUCAAAUAUUGAGAAGAAAUAUCAAGAAUGAAUUGAGCUGCAACAGAAAGCACAGAAGCUGGCACCUUCCCAUUGCUCGUUACUUAAACAACACCGAGAGUCCAGAAGUGGUAUGUGGUGUUGUUAGUUGCAAAUUAGAGCAGCUGCUACCCAUGUUAUUUGCUGUAUCAAAGCAUUAAAUUCUAGCCAGAAGUCAGAAAAUUUUAAUUAGUAUACGAUUCCAGUUAUCACAUGAACUUUGGCAAAAACAGGCCUGCGCUACUCUAUGAUCAAGCCAACAAUGCUUAAACAGUAAUUUAUAAGGAGAGCUGGCCAAAAAUGGUCACCCAAAAAUCACCGCUCAUGCAGAAAAUGCCUUGUAGGAGAUGAGGGUAGUUGUCCAAUCCUAAAUAUUUACUGCUCCCUGUUGUAUUAGAUCCCUGAGGUGUGACUCCGCAGCUCACUGACAUUUGGCCUUUCCCUACCCCAAGAAGUUUGUUCUCCAGUGGCUGCCCUCUGACGCUCUGCAACCUCUCCCCCAACCAGUUUGACCAGGCAAUACAAUCACCUCCAGUCUCCAGCCUGACCAACCUCACUCAUUCAGUCACUGUUACAGUUACAGCCCCUGCGGUUCUGGCGACAAAGCUAUUAUUCUGUGAAAAAUCUGAGAGUGAAAACUUUGAUCCAAGUGCACACGGUGAAUUUCCACUCCCUCAGAUGAAAUAGCCUUGUAGGAUUAAUUCCCUCCCUUUUCUUGAGGUGCAAAGGGGAAAAAUAUAUUGCAACCUUUAGGAAAAUUGCUGGAGAUGGUAGCAAUUUUCCCUCAGCUUGAUCUCAAAUAUGUUUAUUUUACAUUUUAAGUGUGACCUCAUGUGCUUGCUCAUAGCGGUUUCAAUGCUUAGAGUGCUCUACCAUGGUUCAGAAAAGAGCUCAGUUUUUACCUCCAAACUCCAUUUUGAGAUGCUGGCUGUCUUACUUGUUGGCCCAAUUUUUAUACGGUGUCAGGUGCUGCGCAUCUAAAAAAGAAGGCAGCAUUUCACCAAGUGAAAGGAGUUGUGCAGCUGGCACAGCUAGUGCAGAAAGAAAUUGCAGUAAUCUUAGUACCAUGCAGCUCUUAGACUACAGCUCCACUAGGAAUGUAUUGUUUUAAGGCACCUGACGUACAUCAAAACAGCGAGCGCUGAACCCAAAGCCUUAAACUAUCAGAAAAACAUUAUGAGAGAAUGUUUGGAGAUGUAACUGCCAUUGCUGAAUCAGUUUUUUUUUUUUUCAAUUUGCUACAUUGAUCUAAUACUAUAUAGUUUCAAGUAUCAUUUAAGCCCUUCCUAAGUGUAAAGCUGUAUUAAAAACAUGACAACCCUAUAUGAUCUGGUCUGCGCUUAAUGUAGAAUCAUCUAAGUUAGAAAAGGCCUUUGAGAUAGUCAGGUCCAACCAUUAACCUGACCUACCAAGUUCCCUUCCCAAGCUAUGUCCAUCAGUGCCCUGUCCUCACGUCUUCCAGUGAUGAGGACUCCACCACUUCCCAGCAGUACCCCAUAGUUUGGAACCAUACUAUUAGCCAUAUGAGCCCAUUUGGCAUUACAAGCAGAAAUAUCAUUCCAUGGGGAAAGGAAUGGAAGGUAAAGGUGUACAAAUCUUAGAAGUAAGUUGGGUCUCUAUCUACAUGCAUGAACAUGAAACAAAGAAGCACAACACUGAGCACAAAGUACAAAAAUACCCAAAACUAGUUGGAUAUGGCCAACUUUUUUGUGCUUCGCAGCCACAGUACAAAAAUCUUCGUACAAAUCAUUAGCCACAAGCAAUGUACCUCUUGUGAAAACGCUAAGUCACAGCACAAAGCAGUGAUUGACCACCUGGUGGGAAGAUAGGACCAACCCAGGGGAGCUCAGGUGCAUGCAAUAUUAUGCCUGAGUGACCAGGAGGACUUCCCAGACCUCAUUUAAGGAUUGGCAGAGGAAGUGGGGGUGGCUUGUUGGAAAUUCCUGCCUAUCUGAGGCCUUCUAAGGGUAAGUUGUUGUUGUGGCUGCUGUAUUUGGGGCUUAUUCUCACUCACUACAGCCUAGGACUUUGCCACCCUGCUAUUUCUGCUGUGCUUUCUGUUGUGCUAUAGUAUUACAGUACCAUAUUUAAUUGUGCAAUCAGCAGUCAGGGAGUGCUGAGGAGUCCCAUAAUUGCCUUGCAGGAAGAGCCUGGCUGGAGGUGCAGGUGGGUUCCCAGGCAGUUUUGCAGUGUUGGCUCUAACCAGUGUGGCUGGCUCACUCCUUCCUGCAGGUUGUCCAGCAACCUGGAUACCAGCCUGGGCCUGAAUGACAUUAGAAAUGUUUGAAUUACCUCUGGGUUGAGUGGAUUGAAGCGGAUAAAACAUGCUACCAACAGCAUUUUCCUCUACUGCUUUUUUUUUUUUUUUUUCCU